rnacentral:misc_RNA from 1 species
GUGAAUUGGUGGCUGCUAUAAGGGAGAUUGAAGCGGAUGCGGCUCUUACAGAGAAGGAGAAGGCGAGGAAGCGGCAAGAGUUGUUAAGUGGGAAGAUGGAGGAGGAAGAUGUGAAGAAGAAAGUAAAAGGAAAAGGAAAGGAGAAGGAAAGGGGGCNAUGAUGUGUUGGACAUUCUUGACGAGAGUUUUAAGUGUUCAUUUUGUAUGCAGUUGCCUGG